rnacentral:lncRNA from 1 species
CCGUUACCAUGGAAAUAGCAAAAAUUUCAAAAAUUUCAAAAUGCUCCAAAAUUAAUGAAACGUUACAACAAUGUUAAUACACAUCUGUAGAUGCAAUCUUUGACUUUGGAAUUUUCAAAAUGGCUGCCGCUCACCUGGCAAUAAGGGAAGGGUGCCAUCCGCUAUUGCUUGCAAUGGCAAAUCUAGUUUCUUAUUAUUUUUAUUAUUUUUAUUCUUCCACACUUUUUGUCCAAGACAGUUCUCGGAAUUGGAUGGACCAAUCUUGAUGGAACUAUGCUAUAAUGUUGUCCACCAUGUGAAGUUGUGCACCUGACUUUGGAAUGUGCAAGAUGGCCGCGGUUACCAUGGAAACUGAAAAAAUGUAAAAGAAAAUCAAAAUUCUAACUCUUUCGUUAUAAGAGCCAACCUUAUGAAACUUUGUGCAAAUGUUGGUGGUGGGGCCCCGAGGUACCAACAAUACUUAGAAAUUCCGAAAUGGCUGCCAUUGCCAUGGAAACAGGAGAAAUGUUUAACAUAGAACAUUCCAGAACAUCAAUGUUAAAUUUAUUCUAGAGACAUUUUAUGUUAAAUGAUGGUAUGUAAUUAUGGUGAGAACAAAUUGCAGCAGCAGGUUGACUUUGGAAUUUUCAAAAUGGCCGCCGUUACCAUGGAAACAGCAAAAAUACGAAAAACUUCAAAAUGCUUCACAUUUUAUUGAAACUUAUAACAAAUGUUGCUUAGCUAAUGUAGACUUGACUUUUGAGUUUGGAAUUUCCAAAAUGGCCGCCGUUACCAUGGAAAUUUCAAAAAUUUCAAAAUGCUCCAAAAUUGAUGAAACUUUACGACAAUGUGAAUAGACAUCUGUAAAUGCGGUCUUUGACAUCGGAACUUUCAAAAUGGCUGCCGCUCACCUGGCAAUAGGGGAAGGGUGCCAUCCGCUAUUGCUUGCA